rnacentral:lncRNA from 1 species
CAGCAAUUUACUAAAGAAAAGGAACAAGCAGACUUUACGAGCAGCAUAGUAAUUACACUUUGCUUAUGAUAAAAGUAAAGACACUAGCUUCAAAGCCACUCCAUUGUUACUUUUGUCUUUGAUCAAUGUUUUUCAUUUUUCCAGGACCGAAGAACAGGGGAUCCUUAUUGUUGCAAAAUAUUGAACAUGAGGCUAUGUUCAAACUCCCAGUCCUUCUAUCAGAGCUACUUUGUUCUUUUGUACAUUUGUCUUUGGUGACUUCUAUGAUACUCCUCUUACUCUUACACUGUUUCUCCCCUUGUGGACUAAUGGUUGCAAAUCUAACUGAAAUGAGAGGUAGUCACAUAUGGUAGCGUUAGUAAGAAUGGUGUCUCCAGUUUAAAGUCAUCAAGUCUCUGUGCAACAUAUAUCUCUGGAUAGUAAUAAAACCACCAGCUACUUCCCAAAUGAGAAAUGAUGGAACUGUGUAGGCUGCAGCCACUCCAUCUGUAAGGAUUGAGGACAACAAAUCAUGAAGGUGUAUUACUGCUAUUUUGGCUGCAUCUUCUUAUAGUUAAUAUUUACAUAUAUGUAGUCAAUUAAGCUAAUCUUUCAUCCAAAAGACAGGAAGACUGUAAGCAGAGUUAAGUUCAUUUUAUGGCAUUUCACAUUCUUGUUGAAAGUUGAAACCUACAACUUUACACUAUGAUUACUACUAAGACAAGAAUUCGGGGAUCAAUUCAACUGAUGCUAUACACUACAUGGUCGCAGGGAAAGAAAGGGCAGUGGGAAUGGAGCAUUUAACUCAUAAAAACGAUUCCUCAAACGGAGUCACAAUUCACAAAGGAUAAAAUGAACCAUGCAACUGAAACUACAAGAAGGCUGCACAAACACUGCUUGCAGUGUCACUCGUAAGUGUGCCAUUAGCAACUGAAACGGUCCUAGAAUAGCAACCAACAUCAUCCCUGUAAGAAUAAGUUUGUUGAGUGGUGGCUCCACCAGAUAGAACAUCAUGAUCUUGAACAACCAUCCACCCACUGCAUAUCUGCCGAUUUGUCAAAGAGGUUGAUAAAUCUCCAAUGGACUUCCUCUCCCUCCAUUCAUGAUCUAAAUCAGUAAGCAUCAAGCUUGUAUCAUUCUCUGUUGAAGGCAAAUUCUUAGUGGUCAUACUAAGUGGAUAUAUCUUCUUUACGGUGGUCCUAGAAAUCGUGAUACCCGUAUCAGACACUACUCUUACUAUGCUCUCUUCUCUCACAUUCUGCCUUACCCUUUUUUCAGUACCAUUGUGAUAAAACUUUAUCUCAUUCUUGAACUUCACUUCUCUGGAAACUGUUGUAGUUAAAUUUCCUGAAGUUGUAUUCACCCACCCCGAAAACUUGCUCUUCCUUCCCAUCUCAAUCUCAAACGACCCAUCAAGUCCAUGAAAACUCGAAGAUCGCUCGAUGUUAAACUUAGGAGCACCAUAAUCAAGAACCUCAGCCUGAACUUCACAUGGAGAUUUACAAUCAUCUAACCAUAAAUGCAAAUUCCCAUCCACAAGCCAAAAUGGGAUACUAUCCGCCACCCCAAGAUCCAAAAAAUGAUCUUUACCAUCAAGCAGCAGCUCCAAAAACGGCGUUAAAUCAAUAUCAUAAGAAGGAAGAUCAAAGGCACCAAUUGAAACCACCGGUUCCCAGAACAAAGGAUUAAUUCCUCCCGUGAAAAUCACUGGGAAUGGAACCAAAUAUCCUACCAAAUUCUCAUCUAUCUUUAACAAAACUUCCCUAUAAGCUCCAUGGCCUCUUUUUGUGGUCAAAUUAUUCAUCUUGAGAUAUGAAUCCGGCGGAUUUGAGUACCAAAACUCAUCAUCCCCGUGAAACGAUACAUAAAUUUCCAUCACAGCUUUGUAAGUAUUCUUUGGAAUCACAACUCUCUGCCCAUGUAAUUCUGAUUCACUCUCAAUUCUAAACCAAAAUCCAUUAUCUCCAUUCCCCGAUAUGGGGAUUAUCAAAUCAGCCGGUUUUUCAUAUAAAUCCAACGAAUUUCUCAGUUUGUUAACUUCCAUUGAAAUAUGAUUAUUAUCAACAUAAUUACCCAAUUCAACCCCGGUAACAUUCUUAAUAUCAUAGUAUAAAAAAGUAAGAUUAACAUGAUAAACCCCAGUAAAAAUUUCAUUAACUAAAUUUUCGAGCAUGACAGAAAGGGUAAUAUUGUCCUUUAAAAGAAUAGAAGUGUACUUGGUGACGUCUUUAUUAACGGUCCAGAAAAUUCCGUCAUCGGUGGGCUCAGCAGUGCUGGUACGGAGAAGUUCAGCACCGUCAAGCCAAACGGCGGCGAUACGGUCGUACUGUUCGCCUUUGCAGGAUACUUUGAACUGGAGAACGGCAUGAGUCCAAGAGCAUUUGAAGGGCGAGGAGUAAGGGAUAGAGACUGGCGGAAGGCCGUAUGUGUUGCUGAAGUUGUGGGUGAAUAAGGGCAGUGUGCAAGAUGGAGUACUGUUGUUAGUGAAGAGUAAUGGGUGACUGAUUUCGAUGUAUGGAUGUGGAGUUUUGGGGGAAAGUGUGUGUUUGAUGAAAUGGGAAUGGUGUUGUGGUAGUGAACAAGAAAGUGGAAAAAUCAAGAAGAAGAGAAUAGUAAUAAUGGAGGGGAGCAUUUUGACCGCUGAUGGAAAUGAAAAUCUGUUGAAUUUUCUAAUUUGGAAGGCAGGAGCUGAAUCUGAAUUGGGGUUUUGACUGCUCAGAUUUGAGAAUAAUCAGCUUGUUUUAGUUGGUCCAGUAGGCAGUAGCUAAGAUGUCCAAGUUCAACUAUAGUUCCUAAGGUGAAUGGUUUUGCACAAUUUGGGUUUAAUAACUACGAGUUUAAGUGUCAUGGCCCUUCUUGCUACUAGUAUCCUUGAUGACUUUGGUUUGGGUGUUUACAGUUAAUUUCUCCGUCGUUCGUCAUUCUCUUAGUUGCAAUUUUUGCUCUAAUACCACGUAGUCAACGUGGACGAAGUCAUAGUGAUAGCUGAGUCGUUCGUUGACUUCAAGAUUGAGCCUGCCAAGUCUAUAGGAGACAACUCCGAGUGGGGUGGAUGAGAUCAUGACAAGGAUAAGGGGAAAGGCAUAGCCGAGGUAUACAAGUGCAAUGGCAAGGGGCAUCCCAUAACGGACAGGGGCCCAAGAGAAACGAUAAGGAGCCGGAAAAUGGUAGCGAGUCGUGCCUAAGGGAGGGUGCUACUUCUGUAAAGAAUCACAUCGGGCAAGUGAUAUCCAGAGUUGGGGAAGCUUGCAAGAAUGAUCGAGAACUUUGUUCAGGCAUACAAGGGUGACACAGGAGGGACCACUUGCAUUGGGGGAAUGCGCUUGGAAUCUAAGCCGAAAGUAAGAGAUUCCAAACAGAGGCGGAUCCAGAAUUUAAAUUUUAUGGGUUCAAUUGAACCCGUAACUCUCACACUGGAUCCGCCUCUGAUUCCAAAGCCUAUCUUGGCGGCAUGCAAAUGGAGCAUGAUGGCAAUAAGAAAAGUUGGGCGGACAUAGUUGAAGAGGAUGACGAGUUACAAAGUGAUGGCACGCUAUCGGACUUAGACGAUGCACCAAGCAAAUGGGUCAAGUUUGCUAGCAAGGCUGGGACCACGGAGGGCAGCCAAAUAGGUAGUGGAAGCACAGACCCGAUACUUGAGAAGCUGCUAGACUUAGUAGAGUCAUAGGGAGAUUCAGACCAAGAGCAAGGAGAGGUAUUCGAUGGGCGGAGGAUCGAGACCAUCAUUGCUAGUCGUCCAAAGUACAAACAGGGCAAGAAGAAAGGUGACCAGUACCUUGUGACAUGGGAAGGCGAACUACCCCAUAGGGCAUCGUGGCUAAUGGACAACGAUCUCCGGCGACGCCAAGGCGAGGUGCGCGUGUACGUGUCGAUACUUUGUGCCGAGGGAGGCACAAAAUUGGGUGGGGGAGAAUGUCAUGGCCCGCCACAUCAUCAUGCCACGUAGGUGCCACUUGGCAUAUAUUUUUGCCAUAUGGAUUAUGGAAAGCUUACAUAUGAAAUAGACUAGCACAUGUGGGAAGGUUUUAGAGAAAUACAGAGAUUUCUCAUGGAAGACCUUAGAACCCUAUGGAAUUGCUAGGAAAGUACUUAGAAGAUUCUAACUAUGUAGAGAAUUCUAGAGAGGGGGCUUACUUAUAAAUAAUAAGGGCCUUGUGUAAUAAUUAUUAUUUACUCACUAGCCCUUAGGAGACUAGUAUAUAAAGGGGACUAUUUAUUUGUAAUUUAUCAAGCAAACAAUUCAAGUUCUCUCUGAUACAAAGUUUCUUUUAACAAUUCUCUUACAUUCUUUCUAACAUUCACUUAGCAAUUUUGAGUGUAGUAAGGCUGACUUGGCGUAGAAAGAACGUGAGCAAGUUGUGUAAGAUCGUGAGCAAAUUGUCAAGUGCCACACGUGUACUUAGUUAACGACCAAGUACAUGGCCUAUGUCCCAAUAAAUUCGUAGUUAUUGAUACGUCAUUGAACUAUUCUGUUUAGACAAAGAUCAUAUCCCAAUAUUGGAAUCAGCCAUGUCUAUACUGUCUUUUCUCCUAAUUUGAGCAAUUUUCUCAACCAAAAAAAUGUAGGGGGUCAAAUUUCCACAAAGAGGAGAUCCGAAAUUGCUGAUCGUUUUAGGAAUAUCAAAUCUUUUUAGACUUGUAUGUCCUAAACAUUAAUCCAUCUAAAGAAAGGUCCAUUUCAAUUUAUGUGUUUUACUUUUUUCUUUGGUCUAUUUAAAAAAGAGUGUCUUUUUCUAUAUUUAGUAUAACUCUUUAGUUUUAACUUUUCACAUGACAUAUUUUAAGACCCCAAGAUUCAAAUAUAUUUUGAUACAUUAUACGCAUUUUUAGUUUAAGAUCACAAGAUUUAAAAGUUUUAGUUACUUUUUUUUCAAUUUCGUAUCCAAUCAAACCAAAACACAUAAAUUGAAAUAAAGAGAGUAGUAUUUAUUUUAUGUAAUACAGUAAAAGAUUUAUUGGAGACUGUUUGUUAAGUAUUAUGUAUAUUACUUGUAUAGGGUAAAAUCGGUUCACAUUAGAUACUCGAAUGAUAGAGUGACACGUGGAUCCGAGGACAGACGGAAGACGAAGCGAGUGAAAACCAAGACCGAAGACAAUAGCUUCGGUUGGCAUCGGGUAGACCUCGAAGCAAACAUUGUUAACGAAGGCAAACGAAUAAUUGCCACCAGAUGACAUUCAAUGAAGAAUAUUCCUCAGUAUUAAAUACACAAUCCGUUACAGAGAAUUUUGGCAUUCAUAGCCUGCCGUUAAAUAUACAUUAAUGGCCCCCAUUAUUGUCAUUAAAGAGGGGUUUGAUCCUAGGACCUUGUUCCCUAGGUAUAGCUAUAAAUAGUGGCUUCAACAGCCAUUGUAAGCGACAAAAAUUCUCACAAACUUAUGCUACACAUUAUUCCAAGCUAAAUAACACUUUAUUUUAUUUCUAACGAUAUUCUUAUUGCUGCCUUCAGAAGCUUUUCUCCCAGAACUAAGCUGUCUAAUAUUUUAUCUCGAUUUCAACGCUAAGUCUUGCAUUUUAUUUAAUUUAUUUAUCAUUUUGGGAUCAAAUUGAUUCGCUUGUCUAUAAACCACGCUAUAAAUUCAAAUGUACCGUUUUACGGAUAAAUAGUUUAACGCCCACCAUGGAGCUUAGAUAGUUUCGUAAUUGGAUUGAUCCUUGCAUCUGAUACUAGUCUGUUUAAUUCUUUGUUUCUUAGCAAAAAUCGUAAAAGAUGGCAGCUAAUGAUGACAACAUCGUACACAACAUUGGGGCACAAGAAAAUCUGCCUCAACACGAGGACUCGAUCAGCGACACCCACAAUGAGGAGAACUUAGCCACGCCAGUUUAUGGCGGGCGAUAUCCACGACACAUACGUGAGGCGACUCCUGAUGAUGCCGAAAACGAGAAUGUUGCGGAGACAAUAAGGAUCUUGAGAGAACAACAAAAGGCCAUCAUGGGCCAUCUCUCAUGGCAAGAUCAGGCCAUAACAGAAUUAAGGCGAGCGUUGAUGGGUGCUUCCAACAAUGCUAAUAGAAGAGGCCAAGUUCCUCCCGGUGCUCCUGCAAAUCAAACAGCGCAAAGGGUUGACAACAACACCCCAAGGGAUGAGGUCGGCUUCGACGAGGCCGGGGGAACUGGCAGCAGAUCUGGUAACAACAACAAUAAUGAUCCCUUCAAAGACGAGCUCAUGCAGAUUAUGAGGGAAAUAAAUGCUCGAAUGGACCAAAUUCCGGGCGCAUCAGCAAUGCUGAAGGGCCCGGACUCAACGAAAUACACCCAGUUGUCGUUCAAACCAAGCGCAUCACCAGAUUUUAUUCCGAAACGGUUCAAAAUGCCAGAUGUACCAAAAUAUGACGGGACUUCGGACACUCAGGAGCACAUCACCACAUAUACAACAGAGGUGAAAGGAAACGACUUGGCUCCACAUGAGAUUAUCGGUCCUGCUGAAGAAGUUCGGAGAAACCCUCACGAAGGGGACCCUGACAUGGUACUUACUCUUACCCGAAUACUCAAUAUAUUCCUUUGAGAUGAUCGCAGACUCUUUCAUCAAGGCCUAUGCCACGGCUAGGAAGGUACAAGCCGGAAAGGCAGACAUAUUCAGAAUUGCUCAAGGAGAGUCCGAAUUGCUGCGUGAGUUCGUGACCAGGUUUUAGAAAUAAAAGAUGAUGCUACCGGCCAUGCCAGAUGAAUGGUCAGCUGAGGUAUUUACUAAGGGGAUGAACCCGAGGAGCUCCGACGCCUCCCGAAAACUGAAAUAAAGCCUGCUCGAGUUCCAGGCAACUACAUGGGCGGAUGUCCAUAACCGUUAUGAGUCAAAGAUAAGAAUAGAAGAUGAUCAGCUCGGGUUUCCAGCAUCGAAUAAGGGUCGGGAUCGAGAAAAGAACAUAGAUAAAUCGAAGGAUGAUUUUGAUGCAGAUCGACGAUCUUCUAAGGGCCGGUUUUUGCCCUACAAAAGGGCCGAAAGAUGCGACAAAGGGUUCCGGUCGGCGGAUAGGUUCGCUCCCGAUAGAAGAACUGACCGUAGCCGAAAUAAUAAGACAUAGCAAGAUAAAAGGUAUCGAGUCCCGUGAUUCCACCUAUCCCAGGCUGUCCGAGUACAACUUCAAUGUCAGCAUAGUGGAACAAGUAUCGACGAUGAGGAACAUCAAGGAAGCACGGUUCCUGAGGCUGAUAAGAUCCGAUGCCAGCCAGAGGGAUCCUAACCUAUGGUGUGAGUAUCACAGGACUAACGACCUCCGGACUGGGGACUGCCGACAUCUGCGCGAGGAGGUGGCAAUGUUGUUGAAAAAUGGCCAUCUUAGAGAGUUUUUAAGCGACCUGGCGAAGAACAAUUAUGACCACAACCGAGACAAUGCAGAUCCCUCGAAGAUAGGAGAAGACCCUCCUCGACUAACUAUCAACAUGAUUUUUUGGGGGAAAGAGAUUAACGGUGUAAGCUUUUCAGCAAAAAAAAA